AAAUAUGAGGCGGGCUGGACCUCUCGGGGUUACAGCCUUGCUGAAUUAUUCACCCUUGUCUUUUGCGUACUUCUUGUUUCCUUGGUGGGUUCGCCCACCACUAGGACAAACAUAAACCUUUUGUAAUUGCAAUCAGCGUCAGUAACAAAUUAAUAAUUACAACUUUCAACAACGGAUCUCUUGGUUCUGGCAUCGAUGAAGAACGCAGCGAAAUGCGAUAAGUAGUGUGAAUUGCAGAAUUCAGUGAAUCAUCGAAUCUUUGAACGCACAUUGCGCCCUUUGGUAUUCCAAAGGGCAUGCCUGUUCGAGCGUCAUUUGUACCCUCAAGCUUUGCUUGGUGUUGGGCGUCUUGUCUCUAGCUUUGCUGGAGACUCGCCUUAAAGUAAUUGGCAGCCGGCCUACUGGUUUCGGAGCGCAGCACAAGUCGCACUCUCUAUCAGCAAAGGUCUAGCAUCCAUUAAGCCUUUUUUUCAACUUUUGACCUCGGAUCAGGUAGGGAUACCCGCUGAACUUAAGCAUAUCAAAAGCCGGAGGAGGUAUC
rnacentral:rRNA from 1 species